rnacentral:rRNA from 1 species
CCUACGGGCGGCAGCAGUGGGGAAUAUUGGACAAUGGGGGGAACCCUGAUCCAGCCAUGCCGCGUGUGUGAAGAAGGCCCUCGGGUUGUAAAGCACUUUCAGUGAGGAAGAACGCCUGGUGGUUAAUACCCAUCAGGAAAGACAUCACUCACAGAAGAAGCACCGGCUAACUCCGUGCCAGCAGCCGCGGUAAUACGGAGGGUGCGAGCGUUAAUCGGAAUUACUGGGCGUAAAGCGCGCGUAGGUGGCUUGAUAAGCCGGUUGUGAAAGCCCCGGGCUCAACCUGGGAACGGCAUCCGGAACUGUCAAGCUAGGGUGCAGGAGAGGAAAGUAGAAUUCCCGGUGUAGCGGUGAAAUGCGUAGGGGUCGGGAGGAAUACCAGUGGCGAAGGCGGCCUUCUGGACUGGACCUGACACUGGGGUGCGAAAGCGUGGGUAGCAAACAGGAUUAGAUACCCGUGUAGUC